UGGAAGCUGAGGAUGGAAAUUCCUUCCUCUAGGGUGGAGGUGCUUGGAGGAUGAGGAUAUGGGGGCUUUUAGGUGCCACCUUCCCAGUAGGAGGAGUGCCCCCUGCUAAGUGGAGCCAAGUAACAACCAGUAGAGGAUGCUGGCCUCGCUCACCAAUCAUCCCAUUCUUGUUCAAGGAAACCACAGGACGGAGGAGUGUCCACGCUUCUGCACCUGCUCGUCCUGCAUGUGCGCCCGGGGUGAGCGUGGCCGGUACAGAGCUGCGGACGCGCUGAGACCCCGCACGCUACCCUUCCCUCUCCAGGGGAGGCCGGAGCCCUGGCACACAGGCUGCUGGAAGUGCAGCCCACCUCCCACUGUGGGUUCCCCCUCCUGGACCGGUCCUCCCUCCAGGCUGCUCUCCCUGAGAACCUACUGUGUGCGGGCGCUGCAUUAGGAGACAGGGAUUCACAGCCCUCUCAAGUGUUAAUGUCUUAAUAGCAGCGACUUCCUGUGGAGGGUUGAUUUUCUUUACUGACUUUCCGGAUACCUGCCAUUCUCAGAGCAAGCUUGUUUUUCUAGACCUGUUUUGGCACCAAAACAGCUUAUCAUCUCAUCCUUGUCAACAGAUGCUUCCUAGCUGUGCGAAUAUACUUAGAAAUAAAUAUAUGGUCCUGCUGGAAUGCCAAUAAUCAACAACAGCAGCCAUCUUCCUUGGGGGCUUUUCUGGCAAUAAAAAAAAAACAAAACAA